rnacentral:rRNA from 1 species
CCUACGGGUGGCAGCAGUGAGGAAUAUUGGUCAAUGGACGAGAGUCUGAACCAGCCAAGUAGCGUGAAGGAUGACUGCCCUAUGGGUUGUAAACUUCUUUUAUAUGGGAAUAAAAUGUUCCACGUGUGGGAUUUUGUAUGUACCAUAUGAAUAAGGAUCGGCUAACUCCGUGCCAGCAGCCGCGGUAAUACGGAGGAUCCGAGCGUUAUCCGGAUUUAUUUGGUUUAAAGGGAGCGUAGGUGGAUUGUUAAGUCAGUUGUGAAAGUUUGCGGCGAAACCGUAAAAUUGCAGUUGAAACUGGCAGUCUGGAGUACAGUAGAGGUGGGAGGAAGUCGUGGUGUAGCGGUGAAAUGCUUAGAUAUCACGAAGAACGCCGAUUGCGAAGGCAGAUCACUGGACUGCAACUGACACUGAGGCUCGAAAGUGUGGGUAUCAAACAGGAUUAGAUACCCUAGUAGUC